UACGAAGGGGGCUAGCGUUGCUCGGAAUCACUGGGCGUAAAGCGCACGUAGGCGGAUUGCUAAGUCAGGGGUGAAUACCUGGAGCUCAACUCCAGAACUGCCUUUGAUACUGGCGACCUUGAGUCCGGGAGAGGUGAGUGGAACUGCGAGUGUAGAGGUGAAAUUCGUAGAUAUUCGCAAGAACACCAGUGGCGAAGGCGGCUCACUGGCCCGGUACUGACGCUGAGGUGCGAAAGCGUGGGGAGCAACAGG
rnacentral:rRNA from 1 species